GAUGAACGCUGGCGGCGUGCCUAAUACAUGCAAGUCGAGCGAAUGGAUUAAGAGCUUGCUCUUAUGAAGUUAGCGGCGGACGGGUGAGUAACACGUGGGUAACAUGCCCAUAAGACUGGGAUAACUCCGGGAAACCGGGGCUAAUACCGGACAACAUUUUGAACCGCAUGGUUGCAAAUUGAUAGGCGGCUUCGGCUGUUCCUUAUGGAUGGCCCCGCGUCGCAUUUGCUAGUUGGUGAGGUAACGGCACACCAAGGCAACGAUGAGUAGCUGACCUGAGAGGGUGAUCGGCCACACUGGGACUGAGACACGGCCCAGACUCCUACGGGAGGCAGCAGUAGGGAAUCUUCCGCAAUGGACGAAAGUCUGACGGAGCAACGCCGCGUGAGUGAUGAAGGCUUUCGGGUCGUAAAACUCUGUUGUUAGGGAAGAACAAGUGCUAGUUGAAUAAGCUGGCACCUUGACGGUACCUAACCAAAAAGCCACGGCUAACUACGUGCCAGCCGCCGCCGUAA
rnacentral:rRNA from 1 species